GUGAGAAUAUUCAAAAUUCUCUCUUCUAGCUAUUUUGAAUGACACAAUAUAUUAUUGUUAACUCUAGUUACCCUACUGUGCAACAGAACACCAGAACAUCAUUUGCAGCAAAGGUAAACCUAGAGAGCAUUAUGUUAAAUGAAAUAAACCAAACACAGACGGACAAAUACCUCAAGAUCUCACUCAUAUAUGGAAUCUAAAAAGGUCGAUCUUAGAAUUACAGAGUAGUGUAAUGAUUACCAGAGUCUGGCGAGGCUAGACGUGGUGGCGAUGGGGAAAGGUUGGUCAGUAGGUUCCUCUUCUUUUGUUUAAUGUGAAAUUGGUGCUGUUAAGUUUGGCUUUGAUAUGCCCAGAAACAGUAAAGGAAAGAGGAAAGAGCAUAGUUGUUGGGGGCAGAUGGAUGAGGAGAAACCCAGAGGGCAUAUAGCUCACGGGUAAAAUACUGCAGACAUGUCCCUUAACCGCUUUGAGUCUCCAUUCCUUUAUUUAUAAAAUGGGCAUGAUCAAGUCAACUUUAUGUUUCUGUGAGUUUUACAGUUCUUGCUUUAGAGAAACUUGCCUACUUUCAGGCAUGUUUUCCCAAAAGCAACAUGGUAUCAAAAAACAAAAAGGACUUCCUUCAUCAAAAGAGAUAAUUUAUUUUAAAGACAUUAUUUUCACUUGAACCUAAGUAAACCUGAUGUCAAUAUGAGGCUUUUUCCAUACGUAACCUAUCAAAAGCUAUUGGAAAGGUUGCAAGAGCCAUCUCUCUGUCUCCUCUCUCUCUCUCUCUCUCCCUCAUUUGCUGUCAUGAUUCCUGGACUAGCCCGUCUCUCGACAUUAUAUAGCCUUAGACAACACAGGAUAGAUAGUAGCAUGAAGUGUGCAGAAGUAAGUCCACCAGUAGGAUUGCUAGGGCUAGCCACCCUGUUUUCUCCUUGAACUUGACCACAACAUGUUUUACCUUGUAUCUUGCUCCAAUCACAGCUGUUUCCGUAGAAAAAUCAUUUCUUGUGAUGGACUUUUGUCUCACUGGAGUAACACUCUUUCGUGAGGAUAGCAAAAGUUGUAGGGACAGCCUAAGAUUUUUUUUUUUAAGUGGUUUUGGUUUUGUGUUUAUGGAAUGUUUGUUAGUACAGCAGGAGUGAGACUGGAUAGAGUUGAAGGUGCUGAAAGUGUCAGAUGGCAGAGCUUCGUGGGGGCCCAUGUGAAUGCUUAGAGUUUUGGUAGCCAAAACUCAAGUAAUAUAGGUUAAAACAGGCCAGUUGGCUCAUCCCAAGAAGUGAUGGAAGACUUCUGGCUCUAUCUUUCCAGGAGGCAAGAAGAACAUCAGCUGGCAGCAAACAGCACCGUUCUGUUACCACCCAUCUUUUGCUGUUGUUGGUUUCUCUCAUCUCAAAAGAGAGUCUUAUUAUGUGUCUCGUUUAAAAUAUUCUUUGUGGAUUUCCAACAAAAUCCUCUUAAGUUCUUGAAUCCAAGAGCAGAACAGAAGAGGUGGUUUGCUUCCUAGACUUCCUGAAACAUCAGCUACUUUGAUAAAUAUUUAUUGAGCACUUAUUCUGAGUGACACAUUAAACAGCUAGAUGUUACAGAGGAUGCAUCAAUGAGGGAGAUACAACUCCAUUUCUCAGGGAAAGGGAACAUUUCCGGGAAGUGAGUAGAAAUAAUCAAUGAAGCAUAUACAAAAAUAACUGGAACCAAGGCAGAGUGAGACAGGUGCCAUAGAGGUCCACCCAGUGGUGACAUCAUAUUGGGUUGGAACUUACCAAGCAACAGCUCAUAGGGAAGUCUGCAUUUGAUAGGAAAUAAAGAUAAAUGGGUAAGGUUUUACCUGACUGGGAACAUAAAAUUAUGCAGAUAAGACAAAGCAUGGCUUAAAUUUUGGCUCUAAAGCCCAUCCUUAUCAAGCUAGUUCUCCUGCGACCUAGACCUAGGUUUCAGAACUGGGGCAAUGAUACCACGGGAAGGCAGGUACAUGUAGUGUUGAACAGAAUGGACUACAGAUCACACAGAAAUCAGUCUAAAUCCUAACACUGCCAAUUACUAUUAUUUGGCUGUGAGCAAAUCCCUUGAAUGUUCUAUUUCUCAGUUUUCUUAUUUGCAGUAUCAUGGUAAUAACAUCUGCUGCAUAUAAUUGUUUUAUAUAUUAAGAUAAUGUGUGUAAAAUACCCAACUUAAUGACGGACACAUAGAACACAAUGUUAGUGCUAUAAAAGCUGUAUAUGUUAAAGUAAACCUGUGGCUUUGGAAACAAGCCAAUGGAGAAUUGAUCCAGGUCGUGCAACUUACUAGCUGUGUUUAGUCUUGAGAAAUUGGUUAAUAUUUUAAAAUCUUGGUUUUAUCACUGCUUCUUAGCAGUAAUGUGAAGAUUAAAUAAUAUAUAUAAAAUACUUAAUAUUGUGACUAGAACACAGAAUGGACUUAAUAUGUUUAUUAUUUGUAUUGCUGUUAUUUAAUACACGUCUUAGGCAAAGACAGAGAUAUAAUUUGUUUUAAUCAUGAAGUGAAAUUUUGUAGAACAUGGGUGAGACUGUCAAUGAUUGCUCUCAGUGAACAACCACAUAUGAUUCCUUCCUGAUUAGGAAUCCCCUUCUCAUUCUGCUCUGGGUACUCUGGCCUUCUUGUUUCCACGUUAGAGCCUUCUGCUCCCUCUGUCCUGAAUUCCCUUCUUCCAGGUCUGUUAUCACUGGCUCCUUCUAAUCUCUCUUAUUUCAGGUGUGAUGUUGUCUUCUCCCAAGGACCUUCUCCAACCACACUACUCGAAGUGUGUCCAGAAUUGGUGGGCUCUUGGUCUCGCUGACUUCAAGAAUGAAGCCGUGGACCCUCGCGAUUAAACAAGUGCAACUUUCCCAAUCUCACACAACUACUUGUGGAGCCAGGAUUCCAUACAGGCAAUCUUCCACUGAGGAAGAAGAAGAGAGAAGAUUGAAGAGGUGGACCGGCUGCACAUUUCAUCAUGAAGAUUUAUCCGGAGGUAACAAAACAGACAUUUGUUAAUUUCCCUCCUGAGUGGGUUUUUGGAGGCUUUCCAAUCCUCAAACAAAGAGAGCCUCAUUAGCUAAUUCCAGAGAAAACAACUGCUUCAAAGCCACAGCCUGGAGUUCAAGCUCCUUCUACUUUGGAACUCGUGGAGCCCCUCCAUCAGCCUGGCAUGAUUAACCCACAAGAACUUGACAGCGUGCAUCCUUGCACAUACAUACUGAUCCAUCAUUUCAGGUUGGGGUGUAACAUUUAUGAUCUGUCUGGAGAAGAACAGAGAAGGUUUAGGACUAUUACUUAAGAGAGAAGGUGUGAUGCAACAGAGAAAGUAGAACAAGGUAGUUUUAAUUUUUUUCCUUACAAGAGAAAUAAUCUCCACUCUAGAAGAAUCACAACACAGAUGCUUAUCAGGGAGAUAAGUUCCAGAUAGAAGAGGAGAGAAUACAAGAGCAAUUAGAAUCUUCAAAUGAGUUCAAGGAUUAGAACCAAAUGAAUGUCAUCCUGAGAUAUAAAGGGGACCUGUAGUUAUGAUUGUGGCUCCAUUGUUAGGAGUCUUUAAAUAAAUUAUGGAAAUACAGUCAGAAAUUGGAGGUUGGGAAAUGAUGGCCCAGUUUUCAAAAGGGAGCUCGGUACUGAAUAGAUGUCAAAAAACAUUUGAAAAGUUAUCAUAGGAGAGAAAGUUAUAAUUUAUAUGUUGAUUUUAAAAGUGCAGAGUUAAGCUUGAGUGCAAUGUAGAAGAAGACAGACAGCAGUUAACUAAAAGAAUUUUUUGAGAAUUGGAGCUAUUCAUACAUGAGAGUCUGCACUGCUUCCCAUCCCAGGGCCACCUCUUCUAACCCAUGUCUGAGCUGUUUAUCAGGGAAGCAGCAUUUGAUAAUCUGGUCAAAUUUGAAGCCAUUCAUUUGAACACCUUUUACUACUAGAUGGAGUCACUGUACCUUCAAAAGCACCAAGAGAUGUGUUCUGUCUCUUCCAGAUUCCACAUGAUGUCAAUCUUUCCUCUGCUUCUCCCCAAACCCACAACCCACUGGACAGACCCAGUCUUGCUGGUGCUAAGAAAUAGAUUUUGAGGGAAGUAGAAGAGAUUCUGCUUAGGCUUCUAGCCAAAGUAUAGACUGUUUCAUAAUCUCUGCUUUGUGGAUAGCGGAGCUUCCACAGCUAUUAGUAACAUGGCCCUUUGACAUCCUUUCUGCAUAUUACCAGCUCCCUCAGGAUCCCUGAUGAGCAGAGUAAGAUGCUGGAAUUCCCAGCUUCUUGCAUAAAAUACGAGAAAAUGGAGCCAAAAUGUCACUUCAACCUCUGGUAGAAGACUGGGUGAUUAGAGCACAAAACAGGUUAUCUUCUGUCAGGAAUGUUCAGGGGAAAAUUCCUGCCUUGGACAGGAAA
rnacentral:lncRNA from 1 species